GACGAACGCUGGCGGCGUGCUUAACACAUGCAAGUCGAACGAAAAGACCCUGCUUUUGUUGGUUUCUCGAUUGGCGCACGCGUGAGUAACGCGUGAGGAUCCUGCCCUUGACUUUGUGAUAACUUCUGGAAACUGCGGCUCAUACCGGGUAGGAUCUCCUGCUGCAUGUUGUGGGUUGGAAAGUUUCGGCGGUUGUGGAUGGACUCGCGGCUUAUCCGCUUGUUUGUGAGGUAGUUGCUUACCAAGGCUUUGACGGGUAGCCGGCCUGAGAGGGUGACCGGGCACAUGGGGACUGCGAGACGGACCAGACGCCUAUGGGAGGCAGCGGUGGGAAACAUGGCGGAACGGGGGGAAGCCUGAUGCAGAAACGUCGCGUGCGGGAUGACGGGUUUUGGGGGGUAAACCGAUGUCGCAGGUGCCGAAGAGGGAGUGACGGUAAUGGGUAAAGAAGCAACGGCUAACUACGUG
rnacentral:rRNA from 1 species